ensembl:lncRNA novel transcript
GAAGAUAAGCCCGUUCCUCUCUCUGGUAUAUUCUUUGCUUAAUAAAUCUUGUGGGGUGGUUAUUUGUGUGUCUCAUCCAAUUCUUUGUUCAUAACACCAAGAACCUGGAACUCCCAACUUCCAAUCUGGUAACAUAUUUUGGUGAGCCAGCCAGGAGGGUCAAGCCUGCAAUACCUAAAGCUCCAGACCUGGAACCCAAAGCUCCCAUCAGUCGCUACCCUGUGAACCUGUGGAGGAUCUGAAGUACCUGUUUAAAAGGCAUCCAAAAGAUAGAAUCUAUCAAGCUACAAAUGGCUAUGUUGCCUGAAGCCCCAGACAUCAUCCUACAAGAAAUAAGUCCAGACUUCUUAAUUUCCCCCUGGAUAGAGCAGGGUAAGAGUUCUGUGGUCCCCUGUUAGGUGGGGCCAGCAGUCCCACUCAGCUGGAAGCAAGUAUAGAAGAAAGAACUUCAACCCUCAGCAACCUAUUAUGAUUUAUGGGGAUCACAUCUCUCAGAGGGAAUUGAGGCAGGAGAAUAGGGAAGGAAGUCAGAAAAUCAACCUGCAGCCUUUUCUCACCAAAACAAGCAUAAGGCACCAUCUGAUAAGGAAGCUGAAGCAAUGAACCAAUGCUUUCUGCAGUAAACAAAUCUGGUAUAACCUUUUAUUAUAAUAAGUUACUUAAAGCCCAUACAUAUGGAAUGCAUAUCAUACAUACACUUAAAAUUAUGGAAUGGCAAGCACAUGCAGGCGCACUGAGAGAGAAAACCAACAAGAAAACUGAUAUGUCAAUUAUAGGCAACCUCCUCCCUAAAAGUUAAGUAAGAGUAGUAAGGUGGUAUAAAAGAACAAAGGCUAUGUUAACCCAGGGCUGAUACCACUCGCGGAUCAGCCCAUUCUUCUCUCUGGAACAUUCUUUGCUUAAUACAUCUUGUGGGGUCAUUAUUUGUGUGUCUCCUCCAAUUCUUUGUUUGCAACACCAAGAACCUGGAAAUCCAACUUCCAAUCUGGUAACACUUCUACUCUAAAAAUGUGCUUACUCUUUGUAUAGCAUGUAACUGCUCUAUUGGUUGUACCCAUUCAUAUAUUAAUGUUUCC